rnacentral:rRNA from 1 species
CCUACGGGGGGCUGCAGUAGGGAAUAUUGGACAAUGGGCGAAAGCCUGAUCCAGCAAUGCCGCGUGAGUGAUGAAGGCCUUAGGGUUGUAAAGCUCUUUUACCCGGGAUGAUAAUGACAGUACCGGGAGAAUAAGCCCCGGCUAACUCCGUGCCAGCAGCCGCGGUAAUACGGAGGGGGCUAGCGUUGUUCGGAAUUACUGGGCGUAAAGCGCACGUAGGCGGCGAUUUAAGUCAGAGGUGAAAGCCCGGGGCUCAACCCCGGAACUGCCUUUGAGACUGGAUUGCUUGAACAUCGGAGAGGUGAGUGGAAUUCCGAGUGUAGAGGUGAAAUUCGUAGAUAUUCGGAAGAACACCAGUGGCGAAGGCGGCUCACUGGACGAUUGUUGACGCUGAGGUGCGAAAGCGUGGGGAGCAAACAGGAUUAGAUACCCGAGUAGUC